rnacentral:rRNA from 1 species
AGUGNCGGAAUAUUGGACAAUGGGCGAAAGCCUGAUCCAGCCAUGCCGCGUGUGUGAAGAAGGUCUUCGGAUUGUAAAGCNCUUUUNGUUGGGAGGAAGGGCAGUAAGUUAAUACCUUGCUGUUUUGACGUUACCGACNNAAUAAGCCCCGGCUAACUUCGUGCCAGCAAACCGCGGUAAU